GAUGAACGCUGGCGGCGUGCCUAAUACAUGCAAGUCGAGCGAACAGACGAGGAGCUUGCUCCUCUGACGUUAUCGGCGGACGGGUGAGUAACACGUGGAUAACCUACCUAUAAGACUGGGAUAACUUCGGGAAACCGGAUCUAAUACCGGAUAAUAUAUUGAACCGCAUGGUUUACUAGUAAAAGACGGUUUUGCUGUUACUUAUAGAUGGAUCCUCGCCACAUUAGCUAGUUGGUAAGGUAACGGCUUACCAAGGCAACGAUGCGUAGCCGCCCUGAGGGGGUGAUCGCCCACACUGGAACUGAGCCACGGCCCAGACUCCUCCGGGAGGAAGAAGUAGGGAAUCUUCGGAAAUGGGCGAAAGCCUACCGGAGAACCGCCGCGUGAGUGAUGAAGGUCUUCGGAUCGUAAACCUCUGUUAUUAGGGAAGAACAAAUGUGUAAGUAAAUAUGCACGUCUUGACGGUACCUAAUCAGAAAGCCACGGCUAACUACGUG
rnacentral:rRNA from 1 species